rnacentral:lncRNA from 1 species
GGGUGCUCUUAUAACAAUGGGAUAGUUUUCGCUCAUUAUAAUGGUUAUAAAUGAGGAAAAAAUUGGAAGGAGAGGAGGAAAGUAUAGAGGAAGAGACUAAGGUGAUAUUGGGGGCGGCCUUAUAAUUAUGGGGCAUCAUUGAUUUGCAUGGAGGUAGAGAAGGAAGAAUGUGAAGGGAAGUAGGGCAAGAAGGAGAGGCCGGUGGUGAUAAUAGGGUAACCCUAGUAUUAUGUGGCAUCGUUGGGUUGUUGUGGAGAUAAAAGAGGAAGAAGAAGAUGCGGAGAGUGGAAAAAAGGAGCGUCGACUAUGGUGAGGGAGAACUUGAUAUACUUAAUCCAUUUGAGUACUUGCAAUAACAACUAUUUAUUGAACUAAUAAUGGGUAUCAUUAAGCACAAAGCAUAAAUAUGUUUAGCUUGAUAUAUAAAUAUGCAUAAGAAGUUUAAAAUGAAAUAUAAGCAUAGAGUAUGAUAUGAAAAAUCAAUGGUCAAAAAAUAAAAAUAAUGACAUUAUUUAUAUUAUAAAAAUUUCUAUGACACGUAAUAGAAGAGGUCCAAGAUCGCUAUAAUAGCCCUUAUUUUAGACCACGACCUAAGUAUAAGGCUUAGUCCAGAUCGAUCAAGUCCAAUCUAGUGUUUAGACAGUCAAGAUCCUAUCCUUUGACAAUUUGAUGGCCCACUUAGCCAUCCAAU